rnacentral:rRNA from 1 species
AUAGUGGGGGAGUAGCCUUUCGAAAGGAAGAUUAAUACCGCAUAAGAUUGUAGUAUCGCAUGAUAUAGCAAUUAAAAGGAGCAAUCCGCUAUAAGAUGGACCCGCGUCGCAUUAGCUAGUUGGUGAGGUAAUGGCUCACCAAGGCGACGAUGCGUAGCCGACCUGAGAGGGUGAUCGGCCACAUUGGGACUGAGACACGGCCCAGACUCCUACGGGAGGAGCAUG